CACCAGCCGCCCCCGAAAUGCAGUGGCGACCCCGCCGCAGCCUCCCCUGCGUAGUAGCACACACCUCGCACCGGAGCGCGGAGGCGGUCACGCCGUAAAACGCCCAACUUUCUUAGAGUUGACCUCGGAUCAGGUAGGAAU
rnacentral:rRNA from 1 species